AGGGUAAGAUAAAGAUAAAAGAACACAUCACGAAUGGCUUUGAAAUUCUCCCAAAGGCAUUGAUUGAAUUGUUUACCGGAAGCAACUUUGGAAAAGCCGUUGUAAUAGUUUGAAGUUCAUAGAUCUCGUUACCUUGCAUGAUAUGCAUUGUUAUACUGAUAAUUUUUGAUAAUCCAAUGAUAAUCUAAAAGUGAUCCCGACCGAUAAUGUUGAUGAUACUGAUAAAUGAUUUAUAGUUUUUUACAAUGUGUGAUUUAACAGACAAACAAUGAGCAGAUACAAUAAUA